rnacentral:sRNA from 1 species
GCAGGGCGUGGUGGCACAUGCCUGUAAUCCCAGCAACUCAGGAGGCUGAGGCAGGAGGAUUGAGAGUUCAAAGCCAGCCUCAG